GUGGGCAUAGCUCAGUUGGUUAGAGCACCAGAUUGUGGUUCUGGGGGUCGCCGGUUCAAAUCCGGUUGCCCACCCC
rnacentral:tRNA from 1 species